rnacentral:rRNA from 1 species
CCUACGGGAGGCAGCAGUGAGGAAUAUUGGUCAAUGGGCGGAAGCCUGAACCAGCCAAGUCGCGUGAGGGAAUAAGGCCCUACGGGUCGUAAACCUCUUUUGCCGGGGAGCAAGGGCGGGGACGUGUCCCGGCCCGGAGAGUACCCGGAGAAAAAGCAUCGGCUAACUCCGUGCCAGCAGCCGCGGUAAUACGGAGGAUGCGAGCGUUAUCCGGAUUUAUUGGGUUUAAAGGGUGCGUAGGUUGUUUUAUAAGUUAGCGGUGAAAUACCGAUGCUCAACAUCGGGGCUGCCGCUAAUACUGUAGGACUAGAGAUCGGAUGCAGCAGGCGGAAUGUGUAGUGUAGCGGUGAAAUGCAUAGAUAUUACACAGAACACCGAUUGCGAAGGCAGCUUGCUAGGCCGGAUCUGACACUGAUGCACGAAAGCGUGGGGAUCGAACAGGAUUAGAUACCCUUGUAGUC